AAUGAACGUUGGCGGCGUGGAUUAGGCAUGCAAGUCGAGCGGUAAGGCCCAGCAAUGGGUACACGAGCGGCGUAAGGGACAGUAAUGUGUAGGUACGUACCUCCGGGCCUGGGAUAGCUGCGGGAAACUGCAAUUAAUACCAGAUAAUGUCUCCGGACCAAAGGUGUGAUUCCGCCGGGAGAGCGGCCUACAUCCUAUUAGCUAGUUGGCGGGUAACGGCCCACCAAGGCUUAGAUGGGGUAGCAGGUGUGAGAGCACGACCUGCGUCACUGGGACUGAGACACUGCCCAGACACCUACGGGUGGCAG
rnacentral:rRNA from 1 species